UACGUAGGGUGCAAGCGUUGUCCGGAAUUAUUGGGCGUAAAGAGCUCGUAGGCGGUUUGUCGCGUCUGCUGUGAAAUCCGGAGGCUCAACCUCCGGCCUGCAGUGGGUACGGGCAGACUAGAGUGCGGUAGGGGAGAUUGGAAUUCCUGGUGUAGCGGUGGAAUGCGCAGAUAUCAGGAGGAACACCGAUGGCGAAGGCGGAUCUCUGGGCCUUGCCUGAUGCUGAGGCGCGAAAGCUAGGGGAGCGAACAGG
rnacentral:rRNA from 1 species